rnacentral:rRNA from 1 species
UUGAACGCUGGCGGCAGGCCUAACACCUGCAAGUCGAACGGUAACAGGAAGAAGCUUGCUUCUUUGCUGACGAGUGGCGGACGGGUGAGUAAUGUCUGGGAAACUGCCUGAUGGAGGGGGAUAACUACUGGAAACGGUAGCUAAUACCGCAUAACGUCGCAAGACCAAAGAGGGGGACCUUCGGGCCUCUUGCCAUCGGAUGUGCCCAGAUGGGAUUAGCUAGUAGGUGGGGUAACGGCUCACCUAGGCGACGAUCCCUAGCUGGUCUGAGAGGAUGACCAGCCACACUGGAACUGAGACACGGUCCAGACUCCUACGGGAGGCAGCAGUGGGGAAUAUUGCACAAUGGGCGCAAGCCUGAUGCAGCCAUGCCGCGUGUAUGAAGAAGACCUUCGGGUUGUAAAGUACUUUCAGCGGGGAGGAAGGGAGUAAAGUUAAUACCUUUGCUCAUUGACGUUACCCGCAGAAGAAGCACCGGCUAACUCCGUG